UACAGAGGUCCCAAGCGUUGUUCGGAUUCACUGGGCGUAAAGGGUGCGUAGGCGGCCGGGUAGUCUGAUGUGAAAUCUCCGAGCCUAACUCGGAAACUGCAUCGGAUACUCUUCGGCUAGAGGAUUGGAAGGGAGACUGGAAUUCUCGGUGUAGCAGUGAAAUGCGUAGAUAUCGAGAGGAACACCAGUGGCGAAGGCGAGUCUCUGGACAAUUCCUGACGCUGAGGCACGAAAGCCAGGGGAGCAAACGGG
rnacentral:rRNA from 1 species